CAAGCAUUUACGUUGGAAAAGGAAACCUCCUCCAGCCCAUUUGGCAGAAGCGGACGAUUCUUAGAUCCAUUUUACAAGCUUCCCUCCACCGCCCCCGCGUUUCCUUCUUGAAUUUGAUCUUUGAUUGAAGUAAAUGAGAUAAUCGACGGCCAUGGCGGAAUCCGUCGAAGAAGUGCUUUACGAAGAGCGGCGUCACGCCUCUAGACCUUUCACUUCCAAUCAUCCCCUUCAACCGUCAAGCGGAGCUGAUAGAGGCGGUUUCUUAUCAUUUCUUUCUGUUGGAGGUGUAAGUCGGCUUAAAGAGAAAUGGAUUCAAUUCACAAGUCCGAAGCAAAUGAAAAAACCUGUGUCUUUAUUUAUAUCUCCUAGAGGUGAGCGUGUCGCUGUGGCUGCCGGAAAUCAAGUCAUCAUUUUGCGGAAGGAGGAUGAUUACCAGGAGCCUUGUGGCCGUUUUACUGAUAGCAGCCUUGUUUUUUUCACACGUGGAGCUUGGUCUGAAUCUCAUGAUAUUCUUGGAGUAGUCGAUGAUGCCGAUGUAAUAUAUUUCAUUAAGGAAAAUGGUGAAGAGAUAACAAGGAUUACGAAGAGGCAUUUAAAAGUAUCUUCAACAAUAAUAGGACUGAUUUCACAGGAUGAUUCUGAAUUACAACGAUCUUCCUUGUGUAGCUUCAGUUUUCUGACUUCUGAGGGAGCUUUUCAUCAUAUUGAGAUCGGUCCAGAGCCAAGUGCCUCUAUUUCUUCCAUAAAAAGUAGUGACCUAGCUUUAAAAGGGCAAUUCCCGCAGAAUGUUUUCUGCUUUGACUUUUAUCCAGAACUUUCCUUGCUUGUUGUUGUUGGCUCAAUUAUUGCUAGCAGGAAAUCUGAAUCCUGUUAUCUUUCUCUUUGGUGUAAACGCCAGAAUUUGGAGCCAUUAGCCUCUGUUCAGUUUGAGGGGCUUUACUAUGAGAAAAAAGGUUAUGCAACUCAUCCGGCCAACCCAAAGGUGUUGAUCUCACCCAAAGAGGCUUAUAUUGCAACUUUAGAUAUGAAUGGAUGUUUAUACUUGUUUAAGCUGGAUAAGGAAACAUAUUUAGUUACAAACUUUGCUUUCCAAGAGAGAACUAAUUCUGAAGUGAACGAUAGAUCUUUAAAUGUAUGCACAGAUAUCUUAGUUGACAUUGUAGAUUUUACUUGGUGGUCUGACCAUAUUCUCAUUCUUGCUAAAAGAACUGGCGUUGUCACUAUGCUCAACAUUGUUAGUGGUCUGAAAUUAAUAGAGAAUGAUCCUGUCUAUUCUAUGCCUGUUUUAGAAAGGGUGCCGAAGUUUGAAGGAAAUGUUUUUCUUUUAGAGAGGUUAUCAUCAGAAGAUAGGUGUGAUUCAUUUAAUGGUAAUAGAAUGACAAAGGACUUGCAUCAUGGAGAGCAAAUUUCUGAAGACAGAUCCAAUCAAUCUGACCUUUCCAGAUUGCGUUGGAAUUUGAUAUCGUUAUCAGUGAGAUCUGUUCCUGAAAUGUAUAAGAUUCUAAUUCGUAAUUCCAAGCAUCAAUCUGCCUUGGAAUUUGCAGAUCGUUACCAGUUGGAUAGGGAUGAGGUUCUGAAGUCCCAGUGGCUGUGUUCUGGCAAAGGAAUAAAUGAUUUAAAUACAUUAUUGUCAAAUAUUAAAGAUAGAGUUUUUGUUCUUUCGGAGUGUGUAGAUAAAGUUGGACCAUCAGAAGAAGCAGUAAAGGCUUUACUUGUUUACGGGCUGCAGUUAACUAACUGUUACAAAUUUUCUGAACCAAACAACCAAGAAGGUCUUGAGAUUUGGGAUUUCCGUUUGGCUAGACUUCAGCUGUUGCAAUUCAGUGACAGGUUGGAAACAUUUAUUGGGAUAAACAUGGGCAGGUUUUCUGUUUGGGAAUACAGCAAAUUCCGGGUUAUGCCAAUGAAUGAAGCAGCAAUUGCACUUGCUGAAAGUGGAAAAAUUGGGGCUCUAAACCUCCUGUUCAAGCGUCAUCCUUAUUCACUGGCUCCCUUCAUGUUAGAUAUUUUGGCUGCAAUUCCUGAAACAAUCCCUGUGCAAAUGUAUGUACAGCUUCUUCCUGGGAGGUCUCCUCCAAUUUUUUUUACGAGGGAGGAAGAUUGGGUUGAAUGUGAUAAAAUGGUAUGUUUUAUUAAUAAAUUACCUGUGAACCAUGACAUUGGUAAUCAAAUUCGAACUGAACCUAUUGUCAAGCGGUUGCUAGGAUCUUUUUGGCAUUCAACAGAUGAACUCGCAGUUUGGUAUAAGCAAAGAGCUAGAGAUAUUGAUUCCUACAGUGGGUUGUUAGAAAACUGCCGCUACUUAGUUAGCUUUGCUUUCCAGAAAGGUAUCUAUGAGUUAAAGCAGUUUCAUGAAGAUAUCUCAUAUCUGCACCAGUUGGUUUAUGCUACUGAGAAUGAUGCUGAAAUAAGUACCAGUAUGAGUCUUGUUGCAUGGGAACAAUUAUCUGACUAUGAAAAGUUCAAAACAAUGCUUAAUGGGUGCAAAGAGGAAAAUGUGGUUGAAUCAUUGCGGAAUAAGGCGAUCCCAUUUAUGCAGAAAAGGUCGCGCAGGGUUUCCUUGGCUACCCAACAGCAGAUUGCAGAUGGCCAUUCUUUGGUAGAUCAGACUAAGAGCGAGUCAUUCCUGGUUAGAUGGCUCAAAGAGAUUUCCUUUGUGAAUAAAUUGGAUGUAUGCUUGAUGGUCAUUGAAGAAGGCUGCAGGGGGCUCCAAAGCAAUUGCUUCUUUAAGGAUGAGGUUGAAGUUGUAGAUUGUGCUUUGCAAUGCCUAUAUUUAUUUACAGUCACAGAUAGAUGGAGUACCAUGGCUGAAAUAUUGUCAAAGCUUCCAAAGAAGCAAGAUUCUAAAAUAUCUAUUGGCAACCUUGAUCGAAGGUGCAAAGUGGCAGAAGGCCAUAUUGAAGCAGGGAGCAUUUUGGCAUUUUACCAGGUCCCAAAACCAAUGAAUUAUUUCUUAGAAGCCCAUUCAGAUAAACAAGGGGCAAAACAGAUUAUUAGCCUCAUGCUUUCAAGAUUUAUUCGCCAACAGCGUGGCCGACCAAAUGUUGAGUGCGAAAGCAUGUGGGAUGAUCUGCAGUGCUUGCAUGAGACAGCCUUUCCAUUUCUGGACCUCGAAUAUUUGUUAACUGAAUUUUGUGGAGGACUGUUAAAAGCGGAGAAGUUUUCUCUUGCAAGAAGUUACUUAAAGGGUACAAGUUCAGUUGCCUUGGCAACCGAAAAAGUAGAAAAUAUUGUUAUUGAAGCUGCAAGGGAGUUUUUUUUCUCAGCUUCAAGUCUGACUUGCUCAGAAAUCCAGAAGGCUAAAGAUUGCUUGAAUUUAUUUCCAAGCAGCAGAAACGUUAAAGCAGAGUUUGAUCUUAUUGAUGCACUUGCUGUUAAACUUCCCAACUUCGGAGUGACACUUCUUCCCAUGCAAUUCAGACAAAUAAAAGAUCCAAUGGAAAUCAUUAAAAUGGUAAUCUUAAGUGAAGCUGGAGCUUAUCUACAUGUUGAUGAGCUAAUUGACGUUGCCAAACUUCUUGGAUUGCGCUCCCCGGAUGAAAUGUCAGCUGUUCGGGAAGUUAUUGCUAGAGAAGCAGCUGUUUCUGGUGACAUGCAAUUGGCCUUUGAUGUCUGCCUUGUUCUGGUCAAAAAGGGUCAUGGUCUUGUUUGGGAUUUAUGUGCUGCGUUAGCAAGGGGUCCUCCUCUCGAGAAUAUGGACAUGAGUACUCGGAAGCGGCUAUUGGGUUUUGCCUUGAGCCAUUGUGACGAGCAAUCAAUUGGUGAGUUGCUUCAUGCAUGGAAAGACUUGGACAUGCAAAUGCAGUGUGAAAAUUUAACGAUGUUGACGGGAACAGGUUCGUCUGGACUGGUUAAAGGGUUUAAAGGUGCUGAUAGAAAAGAUCGUUUAAACAGUAUUCAAAAUACACUCUCUCUCGUCGCUAAACAUCCUCCCUUUGAGCACAGGACAGAUUGGCAGCUUCUUUUGCAAGAAAACGGAAAGAUUUUGUCUUUUGCCGCCUUACAACUUCCAUGGCUGCUUGAACUAACUAGAAAACCGGAGCAUGGUAAGAAAUUUACUUCCGACUCAACUUAUGGGAAGCAAUAUGCGAGUGUAAGAACUCAAGCUGGGACAACUAUUUUGUCCUGGUUGGCAAGAAACGGUUUUGCUCCCAGAGACGAUCUGAUCGCUUCUCUGGUAAAAUCGAUAAUAGAACUACCAGUUACCGAAGAGGAAGACGUCAUCGGUUGCUCCUUGCUAUUGAAUCUUGUGGAUGCUCAUAGCGGGGUAGAAUUAAUAGAAGAGCAGAUUAAAACCAGGGAGAAGUACGCCGAAACCUGUAGUAACAAGAAUUUCGUGACGACAUACAGCAUAAUACAGAAUAACGGCGUUCAUUGCGAUGGUGCUGUCCAGAGAAGGGAGCUGCUGUUAAUGAAGUUUAAAGAGAGGAGUAAUGCCGGCAGCAGAUAAUAUUCCAGUGAUCGACGGCUUAAACAAGGCGGCGCAAUUUUGUUCACAGUUAACACCAUCCAACGUGCGGUUCCAUCGUAGGUUUGGAAUUUUUCUUCCACGUCGAAGCAUCUGCAACAGCCUAAUGUGGUAGCUGCCAAAUAACAUGAUAAGGGGAAACAAUGAUAUUGAUUGUUAAUAUUGCAAAGCAUUAUGGUUGGAGAUUACUGAACCAUGAUUGAAGAGUUGCAUCCAAAACUCAAGUUUCCCCCCUCAAGGAAACAAAACAAAAAGUCUGCAUUAAAGUAACGGCAGAAGUGGAGUCAUUUUCUUUAUAUUAUUAGGGUACCGAGAAAU